rnacentral:rRNA from 1 species
UACGUAGGGUGCAAGCGUUGUCCGGAAUUAUUGGGCGUAAAGAGCUCGUAGGCGGUGUGUCGCGUCGGCCGUGAAAACCUGGGGCUCAACUCUGGGCGUGCGGUCGAUACGGGCAGGCUAGAGUUCGGUAGGGGAGUCUGGAAUUCCUGGUGUAGCGGUGAAAUGCGCAGAUAUCAGGAGGAACACCGGUGGCGAAGGCGGGACUCUGGGCCGAUACUGACGCUGAGGAGCGAAAGCGUGGGGAGCAAACAGG